rnacentral:rRNA from 1 species
AGUGAACGCUGGCGGUAGGCCUAACACAUGCAAGUCGAACGGCAGCACAGUAAGAGCUUGCUCUUACGGGUGGCGAGUGGCGGACGGGUGAGGAAUACAUCGGAAUCUACUUUUUCGUGGGGGAUAACGUAGGGAAACUUACGCUAAUACCGCAUACGACCUACGGGUGAAAGCAGGGGAUAUUCGGACCUUGCGCGAUUGAAUGAGCCGAUAUCGGAUUAGCUAGUUGGCGGGGUAAAGGCCCACCAAGGCGACGAUCCGUAGCUGGUCUGAGAGGAAGAUAGGCCACACGGGAAGUGAGACAGGGUCCAGACUCCUACGGGAGGCAGCAGUGGGGUAUAUUGGACAAUGGGCGCAAGCCUGAUCCAGCCAUACCGCGUGGGUGAAGAAGGCCUUCGGGUUGUAAAGCCCUUUUGUUGGGAAAGAAAAGCAGCAGGUUAAUACGCCGCUGUUCUGACGGUACCCAAAGAAUAAGCACCGGCUAACUUCGUG